rnacentral:rRNA from 1 species
UACAGGGGGUGCAAACGUUGCUCGGAAUUAUUGGGCGUAAAGCGCGCGUAGGCGGCCACUUAAGUCGGAUGUGAAAGCCCCUGGCUCAACUGGGGAAGUGCACCCGAAACUGAAUGGCUUGAGUGCGAAAGAGGGUCGCGGAAUUCCCGGUGUAGAGGUGAAAUUCGUAGAUAUCGGGAGGAACACCGGUGGCGAAGGCGGCGACCUGGGUCGACACUGACGCUGAGGCGCGAAAACGUGGGGAGCAAACAGG